UGGGAAGUGAUGACGCCUUUGACUGCUGACACACACUGAUCUCUGUCGUAUUCGUACUGGCUGAUCCCA
ensembl:snoRNA